UUCCAUAAAAUCACAAAAACGAAUUAAAAUUGACUUCAAAUAAUCAAAAUGAUAGUAAGGUUACUCACUGUAAUGGAAAUCGAGUUCCGAGUACUCCGAUUCUUGAUCCUCAGGUACUAUCUCUUUACUUUUACCAGAAUGCUCACCACCUAGACAUAAUGCACAAUAAGCCAUUUACUACAUUUGUACUAAAUUGUUAUAAAACUAAUUCAGGCUUUAUACUAAUGCAUGAAAUGGGAUGUAAAUUGUUCGGAUUAUCGUCCAAACACAGUGGUCUACACAAAUUCAAUUGUGUACCUAAAUAAAAUGGUAUUGGCCUAAUUCGAUCUAUCACUUAAUUAAUUGGCCAAUAUGUCCAAUUCAACUCCAAUAAUUCCAUUUUUCUCCCAAUACUUCAAAUCACCAAACACAAAUUAAAUAACUUGAAAUAUGGCAAAAUCAUCCUCACAUUUUCUCUUGAAAAAUUCGGCCAUGGUGGGUGCAUCAAUACUAUGAUUUUUCCUACCUGAUUUUCUCACCGUAAGUCAUCAUUUCCUAACCAAUUCACUUGAAAUAAAAUCAAAUCCACCAUCCACACUCUACAUGAAAAAUUCGACCAAUGAUGGGUGAUGGGAGAAAAUGAAUUUUUCUUGUUUGUUUUUCAUGCUACACAUCACUAACAAACUAAAAACACUAGAAUAUAUUGAAAUCUAACCAAAUCAAGCAUCAAAACUCCUCCCCCCAUGUCCGGCCAGCAAGGGUAUCCUCAUGCAAACUUGAUUCUAAACCAUGGAAAAUGAAAAAAAAUGCAUAGGAAAGGUAGAUCACAAGCUAGAAUUGAAAAAUCUUACCUUUUGUCACUUGAUUCUUUGAAUUUUCACACUUUUCUCUUGAAUUUUUCCACCUAUGGUUUUGUUCUUCUUCUUUUCUUCCCUUUUCUUCCUUUGGCUGGCCAAGAGAAAUGAGU
rnacentral:lncRNA from 1 species